ACNCACAUUGUGGAGCUUUGGUGAUUCAUAGUAACCGAACGGAUCGCAAUUGGCUUCGGCCCGCGAUAGAUCAUUCAAGUUUCUGACCUAUCAGCUUUCGACGGUAGGGUAUUGGCCUACCGUGGCAGUGACGGGUAACGGGGAAUUAGGGUUCGAUUCCGGAGAGGGAGCNUGAGAAACGGCUACCACAUCUAAGGAAGGCAGCAGGCGCGCAAAUUACCCAAUGAAAACAGUUUCGAGGUAGUGACGAGAAAUAACAAUACAGGGCAUUUAUUGCUUUGUAAUUGGAAUGAUGGGAAUGUAAAACCCUUUCAGAGUAACAAUUGGAGGGCAAGUCUGGUGCCAGCAGCCGCGGUAAUUCCAGCUCCAAUAGCGUAUAUUAGAGUUGUUGCAGUUAAAAAGCUCGUAGUUGGAUUUUUGUCGGUGUCGUCCGGUUCCGCCUGUAUAGGUGUGCACCAGGAUUGGCUUCGGCAUUCUUCCGUAGCUUAAACCCGCUUCAUUGCGUGGUUUGGGUGUUUCGGAACUUUUACUUUGAGAAAAAUAGAGUGUUUCAAGCAGGCUUGUCGCCUUGAAUACUGCAGCAUGGAAUAAUAAGAUAGGACCUUGGUCCUAUUUUGUUGGUUUCUAGGACUAAGGUAAUGAUUAAUAGGGACAGUUGGGGGCAUUCGUAUUUAACUGUCAGAGGUGAAAUUCUUAGAUUUGUUAAAGACGAACUACUGCGAAAGCAUUUGCCAAGGAUGUUUUCAUUAAUCAAGAACGACAGUAGGGGGUUUAAAGACGAUCAGAUACCGUC
rnacentral:rRNA from 1 species